rnacentral:lncRNA from 1 species
UGAAGCCUAAAACACACAGCUAGCAGCUGCAACAAUUCUCUCUCUCGGCUGUCCAGAAAAAAAAUGCAGACCGCUAGUUCUCUCUUCCUCUCUCCCUUGCUCUGGCUUGCGGCUGGAUGAAGGAACUCUGGUCUCAAGCUCUGCACCAGCUCACAGAUGGAAGACAGACCGAAUCACAAGUCCCUCUCUUCCCUCUCUGGUUUACGGACAGAAAAGAAAAGAAACAGGAAGCUCGGCUCACUCUCUCUCCCGUCGUUAAUUCCUAUGUAGCUGCUCUCUCUCUUGCUC